CUUUGCGGAAACCGACUCUUCGUGGUUCCGUCAGCUUUGGCGCGGAGGCUAUCUGGAAUCCCAAAUGGCACUCAGAGCUGGCCGUGAGCCAGGAGCCCUGAAGCCAGGAGCUGGAUUACAGUUCGUUGGCAGAUGGGAAGAAAAGUUGAAGACCCAAAACAAGACCUGUAGCUUCAGUGCAAUGGACCCUGAAGUCCUAAACCCUAUAUAAUCCCAAGCCUAUCCUAGAAGG